AAGUAUCCUUCAUGUCUAUAAGCACAUGCAGAAUAUUUAGGGUUGGGGGUUUAUUUAUAAACAAUCAAGAUUGCAAAGUCUCUAUUAAUAAGUAUGCCUCACAAUGGUAAAGCCACAGAUUAAGUGUCAAAACAAACUGUCAUUGAGUAGCUGAUAAGUGCAUUGUGCACUUCCUUUUCCUGUAUAUUUCAUAUUAAGCAAAAACAGGUGGUUGUUGCUUGGAGACAGUAGCUUAAGAUGAAAUCCUCUUAGACCUUAUGGAAAAACAGUAGCUGAGUGUCUUUAAAACCACACAUGCUAAACCUGACACAGAAAAAAAAAAUUAUCUGCGUAGUUAGGUAAAAAUAUAUAAUGCAUUUGUCAUUCUGUCUGGUGAAUCAAACAUCUCUCUUCUCGUGUGGUUACCAUGACAAUGAAUCUCAUGCACAUUUUGUGGGGAAUCCCAUUCGUUAAACAUGUGACAGAGUCAAGCACAUGGCACAGAGGUCCUCUCUGGACCCUCUGCUGCCUGUGUGUGCAGCAAUUCAGUGCAUUAGUAUGGGAAUUAGUCUGUGUGUGAGACCCUCCUCAGGUGAGCAGCUGAUUUCAGUUUAACCUUUUAAGGAAAAUGACAGCUUAAACAAAGCUUUCCUGAUUUAAUGCAAUACAUUAUUAUUUAUCCAACUCUGCCUGCAGUCCAUUGCACCUCUUACGAAAACUUACUGUAUACAAAUGUAUAAGCAUAGCACUGUAUAUACCAUGACAUUAAUCAAUCACCGUGUUCAUAUACUAUGGUAUUUACAUGGUGUUGUCUUUGAUAAAAAUUGGUACUUGUUUUUGGUUUCUGCUCCCCCUAUCGAUCAUUUAUGGUAAUUUCGAUGUCAUCCAUUUCUCUCUGUCGACCAGAAGAGAGCAGCAUAGACCAUUUUUACAUCUUCAUAUUCGCCAAGUGUGCACAAACACACAAGGAAUUUGUUGUGCAGUUUUUUUUAGGAGCUCUUGGUACAUACAUACAUACAUACAUACAUACAUACAUGAAAUGACAUGAUAACAGAAGAACAAUUAAAUAAGACUAAAGAAAAUAGUAAUAAUAAUGUGGUAUACAUCUGGAACAGAUUUAUGUACAUAUUUGUGCAUUAUUUACUGUAUAUAAAUCGGUAUAAAUAAAAAAUAUGCGUAUGCCUAUAUGAUAACAUUACUGACUAGUCAACAUUUGAAGUGGAUCAAAAAGGCAUCAAAGUGGUUUUAGGACAACUUUGAAAGGAUGCACUUCAAAUGUUCCCUGCUAAAAAAAACAAUAGAAGCCAAUAGAAACCAUCACAGAAAUGCUAAUGGUUUCCGUUAAAAUACCAUUAAACCAUUAGCUUUUUCCAGUAAAACCAUUACAAAAUUCAUUUUUUCCAAUAGGAUUUAACAUCUCACCAAUAGAAUCCAUCACAUACCAGUAAACACCAUUAUAGUUUGCAUUAAAACCAAUACAAUUCCCAAUAUAACCAUUACAUUUUCUAUUGUGUUUUGGGCAGGGUUCUAUUGUUUGUUUUCAUUUCAUUUUCAUUGCUACUUUCUGAUGAUGACUCACGAAGAACAUCCUGUUUUACUGGAACUACCGUAUUGGUACCGUUCAUAGCAUUAACCACUGACUGAUUUUAAUAAAACGAGUUAGUUAUUUGUGUGACUUUAUUAUUUAAAAUGGCAACAGAUUGUGAAUUAGUGAUGGGCAGUCUGACUUAUUUCAUCGAAUCGGUUCUUUUGAACAGUUUCAAAGAACCGUUUUGAAAAAAACAAUACAGUGAUCCUUUUACGUUCUGACGCAGUUACGUCCGUACGUCUCACCUUACAAGCUCUGAACAUAUUUCAGUAAAGCCCUAUAGGUCUAUGUGUGUUACUUACGCUUUUGUAGGGAAGCUUGUUGUAAUUGUAUAUGUGUCCCCGCACAUAAAACCAUAAAGUCAUUUAGGAUAUGCGUUAAUAAAACAGUCAUACAGUCAUCGUAAACACAUUUCCUGUUCAUUUCUUUUGGCUAUUAAUUUUUGGGCUAUUAAUGUAACACUUAGCGCUUUAAGUAGGCUAAUAUGUAAUCAGACCUUUUAAUUCCAGAACAGCGUAAACCGAUUCGUUUAGCCAAUGAUUCAUUUAAAUGAUUCACCUCAAAAGAACGAUUCUUUCACACACGGGAAUUUCUGCAUACUGUUGGAAACUCCCACUUCACGAAGGGAUUUUAUAUGAUGUCAGGACGUGAAAAGGCAAAGCGGCACUGAGUCUGACACAGCUGUAAUAAAUUCCCACACAAGCAAGACCAUCGUCCCUCCUGGACAGUCCUGGAUAGCGAAACAUGGCUGAACUCGGCUUUCUGAAGAUCUGUUUCAUCGGAACCGCGUUUUCCUUUCUGGUGGUUCUGUUUGGGUUGGUUGAUUCUGUCGGAGGCCUGAUGUACCCUCAAGGACUGGACUGGGCAGACGACAGCUGGACAGAGAAGCUUCCCACCGUGUCUCCAUCACGGACUGCUACUGCUGCCAACAACACCACCACCAAGCGCAACGGGUCGAGGUGAUCUUCUCCACUGCCAUCGGUGGCGAGUCUUUAAUUGCACUAUAGGAGAAAUAAUCGGUGUUUUAAUGUUACUGACCUACUAAAGCCUGCUGUGGAAUUAUCUCCUCCAUGACACUACUGUGAGUCAGACAUGAAGAACAUCUAAUAAUGGCUAAUCACGCUACAGCCAUACGAGAUGCCAACUCUUCACAUUCAUUACAUUUUUUGCUUUGUAUUCUUCAAAAAAAACUUGUCUGACUUUAUAUGAAGAAGAGGCUGCAAGAGUGGAAAAAAAAAUCUUCGGGAGAGAUUGAAAGCUUAAAAAUCCUGCAAACAUGCUUCAUGAAUGUGCUGGACUCUAAAUAUUGAAAUCCUUUGUUCAAAAUAUUGAACAAAUAUUGUUCCUUAUAUGCUGUUCAUAUGAAGACAACAAUAGCUCACAAUGUUAAUAUACAUUUGUGUAACAUGCUGUCCUCAGCAUAAGAAACUGGCAUUAGGCAGCAAGACUUUGUUUGGGUUUUGGGUAAAGGGGGUCUGAAAGAUAUCAGCCAUGCAAAAAUUAUGUUACUAAAACUUACUGUUCUAUAUUAAACUGAAUACAAAUGUGACCCUGGACCACAAAACCAGUCUUAAAUCGCUGGGGUAUAUCUGUAGCAAUAGCCAAAAAUACACUGUAUGGGUCAAAAUUCUUGAUUUCUUUUAUGCCAAAAAUCAUUAGGAUAUUAAGUAAAGAUCAUGUUGUAAAUUUCCUACUGUAAAUGUAUAAAAACUUAAAAAUUGA